UACGUAGGGUGCAAGCGUUGUCCGGAAUUAUUGGGCGUAAAGAGCUCGUAGGCGGUCUGUUGCGUCGGCUGUGAAAACCCGGGGCUCAACUCCGGGCCUGCAGCCGAUACGGGCAGACUAGAGUUCGGCAGGGGAGACUGGAAUUCCUGGUGUAGCGGUGAAAUGCGCAGAUAUCAGGAGGAACACCAGUGGCGAAGGCGGCUCUCUGGGGUAUUUCUGACGCUGAGGCACGAAAGCCAGGGGAGCGAACGGG
rnacentral:rRNA from 1 species